UACGUAGGGUGCGAGCGUUGUCCGGAAUUAUUGGGCGUAAAGAGCUCGUAGGCGGUUUGUCGCGUCUGCUGUGAAAACCUAAGGCUCAACCUUGGGCUUGCAGUGGGUACGGGCAGACUAGAGUGCGGUAGGGGUGGCUGGAAUUCCUGGUGUAGCGGUGGAAUGCGCAGAGAUCAGGAGGAACACCGAUGGCGAAGGCAGGUCACUGGGCCGCAACUGACGCUGAGGAGCGAAAGCAUGGGGAGCGAACAGG
rnacentral:rRNA from 1 species